rnacentral:rRNA from 1 species
CCUACGGGAGGCAGCAGUGGGGGAUAUUGCACAAUGGGGGGAACCCUGAUGCAGCGACGCCGCGUGGGUGAAGGAGUAUUUCGGUAUGUAAAGCCCUAUCGGCAGGGAAGAAAUUGGACGGUACCUGACUAAGAAGCCCCGGCUAACUACGUGCCAGCAGCCGCGGUAAUACGUAGGGGGCAAGCGUUAUCCGGAUUUACUGGGUGUAAAGGGAGCGUAGACGGCAGCGCAAGUCUGGAGUGAAAUCCCAUGGCUUAACCAUGGAACUGCUUUGGAAACUGUGCAGCUAGAGUGCAGGAGAGGUAAGCGGAAUUCCUAGUGUAGCGGUGAAAUGCGUAGAUAUUAGGAGGAACACCAGUGGCGAAGGCGGCCUGCUGGGCUUUAACUGACGCUGAGGCUCGAAAGCGUGGGGAGCAAACAGGAUUAGAUACCCCAGU